GAUGAAGAACGCAGCGAAAUGCGAUAAGGAAUGUGAAUUGCAGAAUUCAGUGAAUCAUCGAAUCUUUGAACGCACAUUGCGCCCCCUGGUAUUCCGGGGGGCAUGCCUGUCCGAGCGUCAUUACAACCCUCAAGCUCAGCUUGGUAUUGGGCCCCGCCGCUCCGGCGGGCCCUAAAGUCAGUGGCGGUGCCGUCCGGCUCCGAGCGUAGUAAUUCUUCUCGCUCUGGAGGUCCGGUCGUGUGCUCGCCAGCAACCCCCAAUUUUUUUCAGGUUGACCUCGGAUCAGGUAGGGAUACCCGCUGAACUUAAGCAUAUCAAUAAGCGGUGGA
rnacentral:misc_RNA from 1 species